rnacentral:tRNA from 1 species
GGUGGCUCAGUGGUAGAGUCCUUGCCUUGCACGCAGGAGGCCCUGGGUUUGAUUCCUCAGCACCA